rnacentral:rRNA from 1 species
UAACACGUAAGUUGCGAGCGUUGUUCGGAAUUAUUGGGCGUAAAGGGUAUGUAGGCGGUUCUGCAAGUCUGGUGUGAAAUCCCAGAGCUCAACUCUGGAACUGCGUUGAAAACUGUCUGACUGGAGUAUCGGAGAGGAGAUUGGAAUUCCAGGUGUAGCGGUGGAAUGCGUAGAUAUCUGGAAGAACACCGAAAGCGAAGGCAGAUCUCUGGACGAUAACUGACACUCAGGGACGAAAGUAUGGGGAUCAAACAGGAUUAGAUACCCUGGUAGUCCAUACCCUAAACGUUGUCAACUUGAUGUGAGAAGUAGUUUACUCCUUUUCGUGUCGAAGCAAACGCGAUAAGUUGACCGCCUGGGAACUACGGCCGCAAGGCUAAAACUCAAAGGAAUUGACGGGGGCCCGCACAAGCGGUGGAGCAUGUGGCUUAAUUCGAAGCAACCCGAAGAACCUUACCAGGUCUUGACAUCGUGCGCAUAACAUAGAGAUAUGUGAAAUCCCUUCGG